rnacentral:rRNA from 1 species
UACGUAGGUGGCAAGCGUUGUCCGGAAUUAUUGGGCGUAAAGGGCGCGUAGGCGGUACCCUAAGUCAGAUGUGAAAACCCGGGGCUUAACUCCGGACGUGCAUUUGAAACUGGGGAACUCGAGUGCAGGAGAGGUAAGUGGAAUUCCUAGUGUAGCGGUGAAAUGCGUAGAUAUUAGGAGGAACACCAGUGGCGAAGGCGACUUACUGGACUGUAACUGACGCUGAGGCGCGAAAGCGUGGGGAGCAAACAGG